rnacentral:piRNA from 1 species
UUUCUCAAUAUCUGCUAUGAAACAAACU